GCGCCUUAUAAUCCGGUGCGCCCUAUGGUCCAGAAAAUACGGUUGUGGGGGGCGGUGGGGCCAGCACGCUUGCAGGAGAAAAGAUCACCGCCGCUGUCCAUGGUGCUGAGGACGAGCUCCACCGGGUAGGGGCGGGGCAUGUGCUGACGGCGAGACACAGCUGGCAGGUGAUUAGAUUUCACAGGUGGUACGUGUUAAUCGAAUCAUCUGUUGUCUUUAACAGUGAGCGGCCGGGUGCAGGAGGGAGAGGAAGUUUGGAGAGAGACUGAAAAGUCCUGGAGAGACCGUAUCACUGAUGAGUGUGUUGAAAAACAUUAAAUCUGUUGUACAACUCUGUACGCUUGGCUACUUUGACGUGCGUAUUCGUGGAACCGCAAGACAGCGACUUCUACAACGUGCGUCACCUCGCCAACAGAGUUGGAGAGAGCCUGAACAAUCUUCUCAUGUGCUGUGGCCACCACACUCUGCCCGUUGAUCUCGAUGAUCCGGUGGCCAACCCGGACCCCUCCUCGCUCAGCGAUGCCCCCCCGCAUAAGACUGCAUAUCUGGGAGGAACACAAAAAAGGUGGCGAGCGGCAGCCCUACGAGGCUGGUGUUGUUGAUGGACAUGAUCUGAUCGCCGAUGCUCAACUUGCCCGAGCGUGCCGCUGGGGCGCCGUUCAUCAUGUUGGCUAAGAUGACCGUGGGGAGGAUGGAACCCCAACCUGACUCCACGAUCACGACGCCCAGGAUCUCGCCUUUACUCUUCUCCAGCUGCAGCUGUGGACGACAGCAGAGGAGAGGUCAGGUCUUACUGCCUGUAACAACACACCUAAUUAGUCUUUUGAUAGACUAAUUAGUCUCCUGAUGAGCCCUAAGCCCCAUUCAGACUAGACAUCAGCAACUAUAAUUAGUAGUAGUGUGUAAUAUACUGUGGAACGCAUUUAUAUCAAUUCCCCUUGGAUUGGCUUGAAGUAAGCGGCUGUCGCCAUAAACAUAAACACUGGGCAGUAAAAAAGGCUUUUAAAAAAAGAACUGACAAUGUAGCUAAUGCGAGUCAUCUAUUCAACUUAUA